rnacentral:rRNA from 1 species
CACCGCGGUUAUACGAGAGACCCAAGUUGUUAGACAUCGGCGUAAAGCGUGGUUAAGAUAGAUUCACUACUAAAGCCAAACACCCUCCGUACUGUUAUACGUUCACGAGAGUAGGAAGCCCAAUCACGAAAGUGGCUUUACAACAUCUGAGCCCACGAAAGCUAGGGUA